UCUGACCUUAGAGAUGUUGCAGGUAUGGCUGCUGGGUCACACCUGCAUUAGUUGGUGGCAGAGAGGAGAGAUGCUAUGACUACACUCAGUGUUCUGAUCUGUACACACAUGAAUGCUGAGUAGCCUAGCAGG